UGGAGCGGUGACCGUCAGUGUUGACUCAGUCUCUGUUCAUCGAGUCGGGCUGAUGAAGAUGAGAUGGGAGAGGGAGGCAGGGAUGAGGGCAUUCAUAGAGCUCUGUGUAGUGACAGUUAUUGCUUGGCUUUAUUAAUUUGCAGAGGAAUCGUCCAGGAGCCCCAGCCGGAUGAGAAUGUCAGAAGUGGACCUGAGCAGCCUGGACAUCCUUCUAAGGAAACAAGAAUAGUCCUCAGGUUUCUGCCUUCUGCAUAACUGGCUUACCAAGCAAAAAGACGUCACAUGUCAAAGUCUACUGCCCUUAUGUGACGAGUGACGAGACUGCGAGCGUUGUUGGUGCCAGGCAGGAGCCGUCCAUCUGGGAGCAGAACAGCUGCUACUAUCACUGAGAUAAGUAUCUGUUUUGCUGAGGGUUCUGCUCAUGGCCCACCUGGCUACAGGUAGAGACACCCCGUUAGGUGGGGCUGGGUUUGUAAGAAAAGGUUCCUGACUAGCUGUGGUUUUGAGGGAGACAUGGUCCCCAUUUUCAGGGGCUGAUCAUUUCUCUGGCCAGGAUCGGUGUGUCCUCAGCAGGAGAAGGUUAGAUCCAUGAGGAUGACUCCAGGUGAGGAAUUGUCCAGGAGCAGCAGCUGAAGGAGAAAGUGGCAGACGCGGACCUGAGGAGCCUGGACAUCCUUCUAAGCAGACAUGAAUGGUCCUCAGAUUUCUGCCUCCCGCACAACUGGCUGUGAGUAAGCGGUCAGUGCUUGGAAUCCCUCAUCUGUACUGGCUCCGGUUUUGUUCAGAGGCUCUGAAUUUCCUCAUUGGACACGGUGCUCUGUGGGAUUCAGACAAGGCAAAGGCACAAGUCUCCUGUGCAGAUGCUGGGUUUAGUACCAAGUGGAGAGUCAGAGUCCACUCCGCACAUGCCAUGGAAAGGGAGCGAGAGCUGGGAGAUUCUAAGCAUUGUUGAUGCCAGGGAAGAGCCAUCCAGCUGGGAGUGGAGCAAGGACCACUUUCAGUGAGAUAAGUGUCUUGUUAGGUGAAGGCUCUGCUGUGGUUAUGAGGGAGACAAGGUCCCUAUUUUCAGGGGCUGCUCAGUCCUCUGGCCAGUACCGGUGUGUCCUCUGCAGCGGAAGGUUGGAUCCAGGAGGAUGACUCCAGGUGUCAAGUUGCUUGCCUUCCUCCCGUGUUGCUCAUUUUCUCGCUCUCUGUCUCUCUAGUGUGUUGGCCAACGCUCUCUCUUAAUCUGUCCUUUCCUUUCCUUGUGCCAUCUCCCUUCUUAGGACACAGGCAGGCCUGCGAGGUGUGCAUCUCCACAGGUUAGGUCUUGAAAGCCCUGGAGUAGUAGGAGGGGACGAAAACCAUCCGGGGUAGUGGGUGCGAGAGUGCAGCAGUGACUGUCAGUGUUGAAUUGGUCUCUGUUCAAGUGGGGCUGAUGUAGAUGGGGUGGAAGAGGGAGGCAGGAUUGAGGGCAACGUUUCAAGUACCAUUAGAGCUGUGUGUAGAGAUGGCGCAUGCUUGGCUUUUGCAGCUGCACUUCCAGAGGAAUUGUCCAGGAGCUUGAGCCGGAGGAGAAACUGGCAGAGGUGGAUCUGAGCAGCUUGGACAUGGUUCUAACCAGACAGGAACAGUCCUCAGCUUUCUGCCUUCUGAACAACUGGCUGUGAGUAAGAGUACCAAGGAAAAAUAAGUCACAUGUCAGAGUCUACUGCCUUCAUGCAAUGGAAAGUGAGUGAGAGCAGUGAGCCUGUGAGCAUUGUUCAUGCCAGGCAAGAGCCGUUCAUUUGGGAGCCAAGCAGAUGCCACUGUCAGUGAGAUAAGUGUCUGUUUUGCUGAGGGUUCUGUUAACAGCCCAUCUGACUCCAGGUACAGACACCCUGUUAGCUGGGGCUGGUUUGUCAGAAGAGUUUCCUGACUAGCUGGGGAUACAAGGGAGACAAGGUCCCCAUUUUCAGGGGCUUGUCAUUUCUCUGUUCACAAGCAGUGUGUCCUCCGCAGGAGAAGGUUGGAUCUAGGAGGAUGACUCCAGAUGUUUGCAGAGGAAUUGUCCAGGAGCCCUCGCCGGAGGAGAAUAUGCAGAAGUGGAUCUGAGAAGCCUGGACAUCCUAAGGAGACAUGAAUAGUCCUCGGGUUUCUGCAUAACUGGCUGUUCCUCAUCUGUACUUGCUGUAGUUGUCUUCACAGGCCGUGUGCUUCCUCCUUGGGUACGGGGCUCUGUGGCUGGAGAGGGCCCAGAAUCUGCUCUGCGGAGUGACUAUGUUGGGUGCCAUUAUGAGGGCCAAUGUAGACAGGAGAAAAGGGGCCUGAACCCUGAUUACAGGGCGGUCACCCUUUCUUUAGUAAAAUACGCCUCCUUUAAACUCGGUGUGUGCAGGGGGCGGGGGGAAGUCCCCAAUGUGAAAAGAUCUGGAAAUGAACAGGUAAGGGAGGGAUCCUGGUGAGUGUCUCCUUUCCGAUCAUCCUCCAUCUCUCAGCGACACCCUUCCGGACUUACCUUCCUACCUCACCAAGAAAAUAACUUUGUGCUCCCUAACCUUUACCAGAAAAGACCCCUCUUCCUUGUGACGCAGUCCUGUUAGUAGGGUUAGGUGCACCCAUGUGCUGGCUCUGAAUACCACCACAUGUGCUUACAACACCUGAACAUCAACACAUUUCAGAAACGAUAGCCACAUCAAUCCCUUCGGACGUAGCCCUAGGAAUCUCCUCUGACUAUCUCCAAAGAGACACAAAGCCUGGAAUUUGGACACAGCUGAGGGAGCUGUCCGAAUGUCUACAGUUGAACACUCAUCAGUGCGACGGUGUCUUUCUUGUGCACAAGAAAACACAGGGUCAAAGUUGUGGUUGGUUGAGCGGUGUAAAUUGGGCAGGGCAAAAGGACUUGAGGAAGGAUGAGGUGGAAGUGAGGGUCUGAAAGGAGCCCCCCACCUCACCUGUUCAUUUCCAGACUGUGUGACAUUUGCAUGGUUGGGCCAUUUCUUGGCUUUUUUGAGAAAAGGGGCGAAUUUUCCAUGGCCUCCACCAUCCCCUUACAGCUGCCCCUUCGCCACACCAUGUUGCAUCUGACCUGGAUAGGUCGCAAGUAAGAUUUCACUUCAAAUCUCAAAAAAGUCCAGUAGAAAUAAUUGUGGGGGAAUUUCCUGUCACUAAGAGAAACGGAAGCUCAAGCCUUCUCAAGGGGUGGGGUGUCACUCAGCCACAGGCACAAAAAGGCUCCCCUAGUUUAGGCGUGCGAGGGAUAAGACCUUACACCCUGGUUACAGGGCAGUCAUUUUGCCGGGCGUGUCAAAGUGACCUGUGGUUUAAUUUGCUUGGCAAAGGAGACCCAAACCUUCCUUACAGGGUGGUCCUUAAGCCAGGGGCGUUCGAAUGGGGCAGAGAG